rnacentral:lncRNA from 1 species
CAGUGGGUCCAGAAGCCCUUUGGAUACUGAUCAGAGGCUCCUUUUGGGCAGAGAUCACAGCAGCAGCCACCAGUUCCGCAGGCUGGGAAGUCCAAAAUCAAGAGGCCUCUGGAGAGGGUAUUCCUACUACAUUCUCACAUGGAGAAGCAAGACUGGAUGACAAAACUUUGUAUCCUUCAAAUGAAGAUGAUGUGGCCAGGUGCCGUGGCGGGCAGAUCAUCUGAGGU